ACUGGUGAAGAACGCACUCGGUUUAUCAAACACCUUCACGUUAUGAAAAAGAGAUCUUUAGCUGACUUGUUCAAGGAAUUAAAAAAGAUAGGUUUGUCGUACCGUAAAGGCAUAAACAUUUGCCAGCAAAACUCGUUGAAAAAUCCUAUGUUGGUUGAUACCUCUUACCUUUCAAAACGACUGAAAAACAUGGACAAUAUCAUGGAAGACAAAAAAUGUGGAUGUUUUGCAUCAUUGUGGGAAAGGUCGAUAGAAUAUUAUCAAAAAUGUGUUUACUGCAACACUGCCGU